GGGAACAGUGCUGAGCGUGGCAGGCGUAGUUCCUCCCCUUUGGAGCUCACGGCUGGGUGGUGAAGACAAACCAGGACAGCGGUGGAGUUGCAAGACAUCCUGGGAGCGCUGCAGAAGAAAGAGUCUGCCUAAACUGAGAAGGAGCUGGGGAGAGAUGCAGAGAGGAGUGGGAAUGUUCCAGGAAGGAGAGAGAGCAUGAUAAAGGCCUGGAGAUGAGAGAGCACAAAGGACGUUAGUGGACUGAUGGGGCCCAUCAGAGGCACAAGCGAAGGACCAGGCAAAGAAACCACUCCCAGCCGGGUGCUGCGAAGGCUUCUUGGGGGAGGUGGCUUUGAGCUGGGCUGGAAGUUAGCCAGACUUAUCCUUUCAGUCAUAGAGAACUGGGUGUCCUGGGUGGUGAGGGCAGCACCCAGAGAAGUGCAGAGGCAGGGCUUCUGCACAGCACAAGAAACAGGCAACACGAUGAAUAGGCAACCUGUGAAAUGGGAGAAAAUCUUUGCAAAUUAUAUGUAUCGGCUAAGGAGUUAAUAUCCAAACAUAAGGAACUCAUUCAACUCAACAGCAAAAUAAUCCAAUUAAAACACGGACAGAGGAAUGGACAUUUUUGCAAAUUACCAACAGGCCUAUGAAAAGAUGUACAACAUCACUAAUCAUCAGGGAAAUCAAAUCAAAACCACAAUGAGAAAUCACCUCGCAGCUGUUAGAAUGGCUACUAUCAGAAAGACAAGCAAUAAGGGAGCUCUUGGGCACUGCUGGAAGGUUGGACAGCUUGGGGCCCACACAGGGAUAGAUAGGCCUUGGAGCACAGACAUGGGAGAGGCGAGAGACGCUGAAGCCAGGUCAGGAGGGACCUUCACGGCCACAUGAGGAUGUCUGGACUUUGUUGGGCCACGGGGAGCCAUCGAAGGUGUCUGAGCAAAUAGAGACAAGAUCAUAGUAUGCUUCAAGAAGAUCAGUAAUGGAGAAGAAAAAUUUUCAGACAUGGAAGUUGCCAUCUUGUACCUUCAGAAGGGGAACAAUAACUCUUGAGAAUUCUGUGAUUUUCCAGAAACUUUGUAACUUCCCCGUGUUUGUAACUUUCUAGUUCCUUGCAGUGAUUACCCACAAAACCCUAAACCAGAAAGAGACUGGAACUGCCCCAACCCUGUCAGGUGGAAAGAAGCCAUUGGAAAGAGCAGACACACAGGCCCUAAUGUGCCCAGAGAGAAGGGCAGAGGCUGAGCCAGUUGGAGGGGACCACAGGGAUAUAGGCUGCUUUCUGUGAUGUCCCUGAGUCCCUUCUGGAUCCUGAGAAGGCCCAGCCCCCUGCCCCAGGCCUAGGCCCCUUCAUCAGGCUCCGAAGCAGUCAUGGCUAAUGGUAUUCUGAGCUGUGGGAGCCGAUCACAGCCCAGAAGCCCCAGAAGCUCCCUCUAAGGAGGAGCCUACUCAAGGAAUUCCAAGACCCUCACCCCGAGUGGGUGGCUGGCAACCUGAUCCAAUGGCUUCUCAGCCUGCUAUCCCCUCUGCAUCCAGAAACUGGACUCCGAAUCUCCCUGAGGAAGGCAGUAGCAAAGACAUCAGACUGGCAGGAAUGAGCCUCCCAGUGUGACCUUGGACCAGCACUUCAUGGCUCUGAGCCUUAGCUUUUUCAUCUGGGUCUUCCCUUGGCUUGUUGCCUAGCUUUAUCGUGAACAUCACAUCGGCUUACAGAGCGGAUCCCACUCUAAAUGAUGAGGGACCAAGACAGAGCCAGGGUCUCAUGGGUCUCUUUCUGUGUUAUACAUCUGCUAAUGGGAACAAGGAGCCUGGCUGUGAAUAGGGUGGCGGAAGAAUUGUAUAGUCAAGUGGCUCAUCGUCUGGGAGGAAAAUUCCAGCUCACCAGUUCCCAUGGGCCCGUCUGAGUGGUGGGGAUGGGAGAGCCACAGGAGCUACAGUUUCCCCAUCCUCCAGCUCCCACAUCCCCUCUGCACAGGGGUGUGUGGGCUCCCAGCCCAUCAGAUGCUUGUUUAUUACAUCCACCUAGCCCUCAGAGUCUCUUAGCUCCUUCCUUCCCCCCAGCACUUUCUCUUGGGGACCCACAGCCCCAGAGGUCUGGAGUCAGGAGACAGGGGCUGGGACCCAGGCUUCCCUUCGCCCCCCUGAGAGCUGACCCAGGUUUCAGCCAGGCCCAGGCACCCAUCACCUCCCUGCUGUACCAACCUGACAACCAUAGGCAGGUCACCACAACCUCUCCUGAAGGGGUAUCCCCUUUGUAAUACGGGGACAGGAGCAGCCCUAGGU
ensembl:lncRNA